rnacentral:misc_RNA from 1 species
GUUUUGACAUGCUUGAGGAUUACCUUGCAUUCUUUGAUGCAGACGAUAACUUCCAAAGUAUGGGUUUCAAUCCACCAAUGAUGACCGGAGAUGAUGAUCAUGUGUCUGACUUAGCAUCUGUGGAGGAGAAGAAUAUUGCCGAGGUAAAUGACCAACCUAUUGCACCAAGUGAAGAGCCUGAUGAUCAAAAGAAGAAUGUUGCAUCAUCCUCGAAACUGGAACCAUCUAAAUUUGGAUCAGAUUACAAGUAUCCAUUUAUGAAGCAGACAAGCUGUAUGUUGGGCGGUAUUCCUGCUCCUCCUGCAUUUGCUUCGGAGUUCCCUUCAAAAAAUGCAGCUCUCCGUAUGAAUUCUUCCUCAGAAGCAUCCAGUUCAAUCCACGUCACUGGAUUUAUUCGAAUAACAAACAUGACUGUGAGCAGCAAUGGGAUGGACGGGUUGGUGGGCAAGCAUGGGAAUUACAACGUUAUCCUAUCUUUAGGCUUAUCACAGCAUGGUGAUAGCUCCGCUCACUUGGAAUCAGAAGCUAGUUUUCUCCCUGGGAAGACAAUUUCGACAGUGUCCUGGUGCUGGUUCUAUUAUCUGUUCCUUUGGGUCCUCCUUCUUUCCACAACCUUCAAAAUCGGGACCUUCAUUCGUGCUGCGUAAGGCCUCAAGAAUCUAGAGAGCUCAAUUUUUACUUUUGAAAGUCAUGGCAGGAUAUCUUGAUCUCUGACUGAAGUGAACAUUAUUAUAUAUGAUACACAACCUAUACCAGGAAUAUUUAGUGUCUUAGACAUUCAAGUGAGUUGAUGCAGUUUCUGACUCCUGAACAAAUUUUAAAAUUCAAUGAUGUAUCACAGUGCAGCUUGGAUGCUGCAAAACUCA